UGGGGAAUUUUGGACAAUGGGCGAAAGCCUGAUCCAGCAAUGCCGCGUGUGUGAAGAAGGCCUUCGGGUUGUAAAGCACUUUUGUCCGGAAAGAAAUCCUUGGCUCUAAUACAGUCGGGGGAUGACGGUACCGGAAGAAUAAGCACCGGCUAACUACGUGCCAGCAGCCGCGGUAAUACGUAGGGUGCAAGCGUUAAUCGGAAUUACUGGGCGUAAAGCGUGCGCAGGCGGUUUGCUAAGACCGAUGUGAAAUCCCCGGGCUCAACCUGGGAACUGCAUUGGUGACUGGCAGGCUAGAGUAUGGCAGAGGGGGGUAGAAUUCCACGUGUAGCAGUGAAAUGCGUAGAGAUGUGGAGGAAUACCGAUGGCGAAGGCAGCCCCCUGGGCCAAUACUGACGCUCAUGCACGAAAGCGUGGGGAGCAAACAGGAUUAGAUACCCUGGUAGUCCACGCCCUAAACGAUGUCAACUAGUUGUUGGGGAUUCAUUUCCUAGUAACGUAGCUAACGCGUGAAGUUGACCGCCUGGGGAGUACGGUCGCAAGAUUAAACUCAAAUGAAUUGACGGGGUCAUAGCUGUUUCCU
rnacentral:rRNA from 1 species